GAUGAAGAACGUAGCGAAAUGCGAUAAGUAAUGUGAAUUGCAGAAUUCAGUGAAUCAUCGAAUCUUUGAACGCACAUUGCGCCCGCCAGCACUCUGGCGGGCAUGCCUGUUCGAGCGUCAUUUCAACCCUCAAGCCCCCGGGCUUGGUGUUGGGGAUCGGCGAGCCUCCGCGCCCGCCGUCCCCUAAAUCUAGUGGCGGUCUCGCUGUAGCUUCCUCUGCGUAGUAGCACACCUCGCACUGGGAAACAGCGCGGCCACGCCGUUAAACCCCCAACUUCUGAACGUUUGACCUCGGAUCAGGUAGGAAUACCCGCUGAACUUAAGCAUAUCAAUAAGCGGAGGA
rnacentral:misc_RNA from 1 species